GUACAUUUAGUUUCACGUCUACUCGUUCAGAGAGAGGGGACAAACAAACAGUUGUGCAAACAUGUAUAAAUGCACCUUCCUACACCAUACUCGCGGCGUCCAAACAGUUUGAAUAAAAUAUACACCCACAGAGUGAACCGUUUGUCUCCGGUGCCGUUUCCACUACAGCUGCACGCUGUCACUGCCGCCAUUUGUAUUGGUAUAACAUGCCUGGGAUCCUUGUCCUUCAAUUUCUCACAUUCACGGCACAUGUGUUCCUCGAAUUAUUGGGAUAUGAAAUGUUGAAGGAUCUGCCGUCAGAUGGCAGAAGAAUAUGUUACACUUACCGGGUUGUAUUUAAUUAUAAAACUCGUUUGUGAAUGCAUUUAUUUCACUCGGUACUAACUUAACGGACGUAAACAGAAGUCCAAUCACUUGCAAAAAGUUUUCUGCCUCACUUCGCCGAGUAUUUUAGCCAAAUCGAUCAGCUGUUGUCCCAGUGAGACGCCAUGUUACUGUAGUCACGCCUCUAGCUUUGAUCCGAAUGGCCGCUUUGCAUGUUACACACCUUUCGAUCGGUUCUUUCGAUUCGUUGCAAUCGCUUGUCUGUUACUCGAGACAAGAACCGAGAUUACCGAUUCUAUGAGCAAGUUGUUUCUUUUCAUAUGCGUGAAGUCAGUGACAGAAGGUUUCGUGGUUCUUCAACUGAACAGCUAGCUGUCAACUGUUAUUGUUUGACUCUUUGUGUCUCGUCUGGUAUAUUACUUAGUCAAAAUUUUUAACCGAUACAUACUUUUCGCUGGCAGUAAAUUCGAAAAUUCAAAAUUUUUAUCAAAAAUCUCGUUGGAAAAUUUUGUGCGUUACGUACACAAUUGAAUAUCUUCGCAAGCUUGACGGUCUCUACGCGAAAAUCGUAAAAUAUGGCGAAUCAUAGUGUACAGAGAUCCGAGGAUAGUCAACGAGCAAUUUUAUACGGUCAAUAAUAAUGUCGGGAGUAAACGAGGCCCCAAAAUCAACAACGAAUUCCGGUUCUGGUCCAGAUAAAUCAGACUGUGACGCGUGCUGUAGAGAUUAUACACCAAUUGACGAAACUCUGCUGAACGUACAGGAAGCUUUGGCCUCCUCGCCGUUGGGCUGCACUCCCGAAACUUCUUGUUUAAACUCAACGACGUUGAAGAAGUUGAGAGAAACUGUGACCAAACCCGGAAAUCCACCUGCAAGCAAUAAUACCGGAAAUUCAAAUUGCAAAAGCUGAAAUAUUUGUUGCGAAAAUUCUUCGACAUACCAAACUUUUGUAAGCCAUGCCGGAAUCUGGUCCUGCAGGUUGUACGCGAGAUGAUAACUGUAAAAAAGAUCGACAGCUGAGGUUAGCAGCAGCCGUAGCAAGUAAGAAAGAAAAUCUGAUGAAAAUCGGUUCAACGAUUCGUCUUGAAAAUAUCGAACCAAAAUCCGUACAGAUUCUUCUAUUAUAUACCUCUCAAUGAAAACCUUGUUCUUCCGAAACUUUAACACUUUGUUCAGAGAAUUCGGAACCUCAAGCUUCAAAAUCGGUUGCAACGACGGAUGCUGGAAAAUCGUCGGUAAAGAAGGAAGAAAACGUGGCCUCGUCAAUAGCAGCAGUAUCAGAAUCGACAGCAGGAGCAGCAAAUUCGGAAGAUGAAAGAAAAUCGGAUUAGAGAUAUAUACACCUCAAUUCUGGCUUCAAGACUCAGAUUUUGAACCGAUACUUUUAGCGGCCGAGACUCAAUUCGAAGUGAUUUUAAAAAACACUGUCACGAGUCCUGUGCGCUCUUUCACGAUUAAUCGAAUCAUCGACUCAUUACUAAUCUAGAAUUAAAAGACUAUAUCCAAUAUCGGGAUAACGAAAAACCUACUCUCGAUAUCGCAAUCCGUAUAUUUUCAACUCUACUGCACAAUUAUGAGCGGAAAAGACGACAACG
rnacentral:lncRNA from 1 species